UCUUCUAGCUUCUGUUCUACCCAGAUCUACCAUCUUCCAAGACUUAUUCUUAGUUCACCAUAAAAUUAGAGCCAUUCCAGUAUUGCCUAAUUGGAAAAACUUCAUCUUCAAAAUUGAAGACUUCAAUGUUACUGAGUCCUGGGAAUAAAAAUUGUUAGAUUAAUGGUGGAAUCUUGAAAAGACAAUGAAAAUUUAGGUAGAGGAAGAAAUGUGAAUGCUGAAGCCAAGAAACCAGCGUCAGAGAUGAAUGGGGGAAAAUGGUACACACAAUACAGCAUAACCUGAAAUCUAGAGAAGUCUGGGCAUGAACAGAAAUGCCAUCUGGGUCAGACAGAAUGAGGGAAAACUUGAAGACAGAAUAGAAGAAAACAUUCCUAAGCUGAAAAAAACCUGCAUGUGAAGAAUGAAGGAGUGCAUCAUUUUCUUGGUGAAAAACAAGGAAAAAGGAUUCAAAAAUGUGUAUAUAUGUAUUUAUUGAGUUAUAGAUGUGUAAUCAAAUCACUUUGUGGUAUACCUGAAACUUACACAGUACUGUAAAUCAACUGUACUUAAAAUUUUAAAAGAGACUCAAAAUUAGGCAAUUCUGGCCAGAUUUUGGAACUGCAUAUGUAAAGAAAUAUAUGAAGUUUAAAAAGCGUAAAAGCAGAAUAUUUAAAACUCACACAUUUUGACCUUUCACAUUAGGCAAUUUAUGUAAUUAUUCUCUGACGUGCCUUUAUAACCUACUAUAUCCUGGAAGUCUUUUCAUAUCAUUUCAUUCUUAGCUAUUGCAUUUUUAAAAAUACUUAAAAUAGAGUCUACCAUGGUUUAUUUAAACAUUUCUAUUUAUUGCAAUUAUGGGAGAGGGGGCAGAAGAUUUGAUUAUUUUUAAUGAGGACCUGAUUUAAAUCUGUGUUCUUAGAUUACAAUAUAAAAAUGCAUUUCUCACCUUCCUUUAUGAUGCACUGUUUCACUGAGUGUACUUGCUAUUGAUCAGUUUUGGAAAAAUGUUUUGGAAUUUGGACAUAG
rnacentral:lncRNA from 9 species